AUUACCAAGAACAGACACAUGAAAUGCCUCUCUGUCUUCAAGGUUCUUGUACGCUAAUGCGGAAAAAUGGAAUACAUGAAAAAAAUGCUGCAUGUGCCUUGAGCGAACGCAUUGGAGAUGCAAUUUGUGCAUUCAAGAGGAUGUUGAAUCGGUUCCUGGGGAAGGCACCCUCUUCGUGUGAGAUUCUGCUGUGGUGUGAUAUGCGCCUGCACAUGCAUUGUUUGAUCUUGGCAACACCUCACAUAUAACCCAAGACCAAAAUAAAGUUACAUUCGGAAGGCAGUCACGAUUCAGUGAUCUUAUCCUGCAGAACGCCUUCUCUUGGCGUUUACAUCAUAUAAUUUGAUUACUGUAGCUCAGAAUAAAACACAUGUAAACAAGCCCAGCAAUCUUCGAAGAAAAUGCGGUUCCCACUGGAUGGGGCGGCUCGAUCGGGGAUCCUAGUGGAGUCGCUUCUGUCACUGUUCAGUCUUGGAGGAGAAGCUGCUUUCCUUUUCACACAACUGCCCUGGAAAUGUUCCCUGAGCCCGCCCUGCUUUGGUGCAGCCAGAGAAGCGACGAGCAAGGUGUCAGCACCCAGGAACCUGAUGGCCCCCGCGUGGCAGGUCUCACCAAGAACUCCUGCUCUGCUUUCUCCCGACAUUCACCUAUGGGCCUGACCCUCAGGACCUUGAACCCAUCUGCACCCUCAGGGAUGAUGCCCUCCUGUGGGCAAGAAGGCUCGGACCAGGGCAGCAGACAUGGAGUUUUCAACUACAAGUGGAAACUGAGUUGAAGGCCUCUGCAAAUCUGUUGCAAUUUCCAAUGCAUUGUUUUUUGUACAAGAAAAUGUUAUGUCAUAUCAUGGUGCUUAUGUUUUUUAAUUACCAGGCUGGAAAGUCCUUGAGCCUUUAUUCUGAUUCUUUUUUUUUUUUUUUUUUAAAUUUAUCCAUGAUGAAGAUCAAAUGGACGACAAGGAGAAAGGCAAGGUCCUUGGUUUCUCCAGCCUUGCUCUGUCAUGUUCCUCACCACUUGGUCAUAGAAAGUAGGACCACGGUCUCUGUGGCCUCCAAGGACUGCAAGAGAGGACUUGGGGUUGCAGGAACUGGCAGGGAGGAACUGGAGAAGCAAUUCAUGGGGACCCCACUAGAACUAACACUUGGGUUGUUUUUAGCCUCUCCACCUCUGUCUCCACAAUGAGGGACCAGCUAAGAGAGCCUAAUUACCUUCUUCCUUGCCAUCUUGGCUCUGUGUCCUGAGUCAAGACAGGCCGAGAAAUCCACAGUCCUCAAGGGUGAGCUGAAUGCAGAGCUCCCUAAAAUUUCCAUUUGCUUCAGAUUUGCAUUCAAUAUUUAUAUCUUCCACUUACUGGCUUUUUAAUCUGAAGGAAAUGGCUUAAUGUCUGUUUGAAAGGGCGGGACCAAGACUAACAUCUCUCUCAUAAGCUUACUGUAAAAAUGAAUUAAGAAACCUGCAUGAAAAGGCUUGCACAGUACUGGCACACAGAAGACACUCCAAAACCCUUACCCCCUUGCUUCCCGUUCCAGGGAACCUGGGGUAUCGGUCCCUGCCUGUGUGGGCCACCGGCAACGCACAUUGGCUCUUUCACAUUCGAAGCCCGCUGGACCGGCCCCAGACAUGUGACAUGGGCUGAUUGGAUUGAAUUGGAACUUUCAGUUCUGCCCUGAAUUGGUUCCCCUGUGUAGACAGUCUGUGUGAUAUCAGCCCUCCAGUUCAGGGAGAAAGAGGCUGUUUGGGCAUGGGUAUUAUUUUCUUAAAUGCAGAAUAAAACGGGAUCAGCAGGAUGUUUCAGUGAAAUAUCUCGUUUGAACUUUCCUAUUCAUUUGCUCUUUUAUGCAUUCGCAGCUAGGGGUUUCCAGCUGAUCCAUUUGAUUGCUCUCAUGUACAGAGUGUAGAGACAGCAAAGAGGGGAUUCCUGUAGAUUCUUAACUUGUUAACAAAGGCUGCUGUGACUGUGGCAAGCCCCAGAGCUGACAGCCAGUUUCAGUCCUUUGUAGGGGUUAAGAGAGGGAGACAAGGCAGGGAGAGAGGAGUAGGAAGUUUUAAUAGAGAUACUGAAUCUAAAAAGCACCAGGGCAUAGAGAAGGGCCAGGAGGAGGGAAGCCGUGAGUCCUGGAAACGCCACCAGCAGGACUCUGGACGUGGAGCCCCUCAGCUCAGUCCUGCUUCAGACUCCCACGGAGUAGAUAUUCUGUGAAUCAGCUGCUUCCCUUGUGACCCAGAGUGGCAGACCAAGCCUCAGGACACCCAGGGCUAGGCUUGGGACUGUCUGCUGCGUGGCCGGUCCUGCGUGGGCACAUCUCACAGCUUUCCCGUGGCUGUUUAUUUUUUUUUAAUUUGUACAAGUCACUUCCCCAGGGUCAUAC